UGGGGACUUUUCCGCAAUGGGUGAAAGCCUGACGGAGCAACGCCGCGUGAGGGACGAAGGCCUCUGGGCAGUAAACCUCUUUCCUCAAGGAAGAAGAUAUGACGGUACCUGAGGAAUAAGCCACGGCUAAUUCCGUGCCAGCAGCCGCGGUAAUACGGGAGUGGCAAGCGUUAUCCGGAAUUAUUGGGCGUAAAGCGUCCGCAGCCGGCUUUUCAAGUCUGCUGUUAAAACGUGGAGCUUAACUCCAUCAUGGCAGUGGAAACUGAAAGGCUUGAGUAUGGUAGGGGCAGAGGGAAUUCCCGGUGUAGCGGUGAAAUGGGUAGAUAUCGGGAAGAACCCCAGUGGCGAAGGCGCUCGCCCGGCCAUUACUGACGCUCAUGGACGAAAGCCAGGGGAGCGAAAGGGACUAGAUACCCCUGUAGUC
rnacentral:rRNA from 1 species